rnacentral:rRNA from 1 species
AGAGUUUGAUCCUGGCUCAGGAUGAACGCUGGCGGCGUGCUUAACACAUGCAAGUCGAACGGAAAGGCCUCUGCUUGCAGGGGUGCUCGAGUGGCGAACGGGUGAGUAACACGUGGGUGAUCUGCCCUGCACUUCGGGAUAAGCCUGGGAAACUGGGUCUAAUACCGGAUAGGACUGCCGUUUAGUGUCGGUGGUGGAAAGUUUUUUCGGUGUGGGAUGAGCUCGCGGCCUAUCAGCUUGUUGGUGGGGUAAUGGCCUACCAAGGCGUCGACGGGUAGCCGGCCUGAGAGGGUGUACGGCCACAUUGGGACUGAGAUACGGCCCAGACUCCUACGGGAGGCAGCAGUGGGGAAUAUUGCACAAUGGGCGCAAGCCUGAUGCAGCGACGCCGCGUGGGGGAUGACGGCCUUCGGGUUGUAAACUCCUUUCGUCAGGGACGAAGCGAAAGUGACGGUACCUGGAUAAGAAGCACCGGCUAACUACGUGCCAGCAGCCGCGGUAAUACGUAGGGUGCGAGCGUUGUCCGGAAUUACUGGGCGUAAAGAGCUCGUAGGUGGUUUGUCGCGUCGUUUGUGGAAUACCGCAGCUUAACUGUGGGGUUGCAGGCGAUACGGGCAUAACUUGAGUGCUGUAGGGGAGACUGGAAUUCCUGGUGUAGCGGUGGAAUGCGCAGAUAUCAGGAGGAACACCGAUGGCGAAGGCAGGUCUCUGGGCAGUAACUGACGCUGAGGAGCGAAAGCAUGGGUAGCGAACAGGAUUAGAUACCCUGGUAGUCCAUGCCGUAAACGGUGGGCGCUAGGUGUGAGUCCCUUCCACGGGGUUCGUGCCGUAGCUAACGCAUUAAGCGCCCCGCCUGGGGAGUACGGCCGCAAGGCUAAAACUCAAAGGAAUUGACGG